rnacentral:rRNA from 1 species
CCUACGGGUCGCAGCAGGCGAGAAAACUUUGCAAUGUGCGAAAGCACGACAAGGUUAAUCCGAGUGGUUUCUGCUAAGAAACCUUUUGUUAGUCCUAGAAACACUGAUGAAUAAGGGGUGGGCAAGUUCUGGUGUCAGCCGCCGCGGUAAAACCAGCACCUCAAGUGGUCAGGAUGAUUAUUGGGCCUAAAGCAUCCGUAGCCGGCUAUGUAAGUUUUCGGUUAAAUCUGUGCGCUUAACGUACAGGCUGCCGGGAAUACUGCAUAGCUAGGAAGUGGGAGAGGUAGACGGUACUCGGUAGGAAGGGGUAAAAUCCUUUGAUCUAUUGAUGACCACCUGUGGCGAAGGCGGUCUACCAGAACACGUUCGACGGUGAGGGAUGAAAGCUGGGGGAGCAAACCGGAUUAGAUACCCCGGUAGUC